rnacentral:rRNA from 1 species
UUGCACGCUGGCGGCAGGCCUAACACAUGCCCGUCGAGCGGAUGAAGGGAGCUUGCUCCUGGAUUCAGCGGCGGACGGGUGAGUAAUGCCUAGGAAUCUGCCUGGUAGUGGGGGAUAACGUCCGGAAACGGGCGCUAAUACCGCAUACGUCCUGAGGGAGAAAGUGGGGGAUCUUCGGACCUCACGCUAUCAGAUGAGCCUAGGUCGGAUUAGCUAGUUGGUGGGGUAAAGGCCUACCAAGGCGACGAUCCGUAACUGGUCUGAGAGGAUGAUAAGUCACACUGGAACUGAGACACGGUCCAGACUCCUACGGGAGGCAGCAGUGGGGAAUAUUGGACAAUGGGCGAAAGCCUGAUCCAGCCAUGCCGCGUGUGUGAAGAAGGUCUUCGGAUUGUAAAGCACUUUAAGUUGGGAGGAAGGGCAGUAAGUUAAUACCUUGCUGUUUUGACGUUACCAACAGAAUAAGCACCGGCUAACUUCGUG